GGGGUUGUGGCUCAGUGGUAGAGCUUUUGCCUUUCAUGUAUGAGGCCCUGGGUUCAAUCCUCAGCACCACA
rnacentral:tRNA from 1 species